AAGUACCCCGGAAGGGGAGUGAAAGAGAACUUGAAACCGUGUGCUUACAAGUAGUCAGAGCCCGUUAAUGGGUGAUGGCGUGCCUUUUGUAGAAUGAACCGGCGAGUUACGAUCUGAUGCAAGGUUAAGCAGAAAAUGUGGAGCCGUAGCGAAAGCGAGUCUGAAUAGGGCGAAUGAGUAUUUGGUCGUAGACCCGAAACCAGGUGAUCUACCCUUGGUCAGGUUGAAGUUCAGGUAACACUGAAUGGAGGACCGAACCGACUUACGUUGAAAAGUGAGCGGAUGAACUGAGGGUAGCGGAGAAAUUCCAAUCGAACUUGGAGAUAGCUGGUUCUCUCCGAAAUAGCUUUAGGGCUAGCCUCAAGUGAUGAUUAUUGGAGGUAGAGCACUGUUUGGACGAGGGGCCCCUCUCGGGUUACCGAAUUCAGACAAACUCCGAAUGCCAAUUAAUUUAACUUGGGAGUCAGAGCAUGGGUGAUAAGGUCCAUGUUCGAAAGGGAAACAGCCCAGACCACCAGCUAAGGUCCCAAAAUAUAUGUUAAGUGGAAAAGGAUGUGGCGUUGCCCAGACAACUAGGAUGUUGGCUUAGAAGCAGCCAUCAUUUAAAGAGUGCGUAAUAGCUCACUAGUCGAGUGACACUGCGCCGAAAAUGUUCCGGGGCUAAACAUAUUACCGAGCGUGUGGGUUGCCCUUUGGACAAUCGUAGGAGAGCGUUCUAGGGGCGUUGAAGCAUGAUCGUAAGGACAUGUGGAGCGCUUAGAAGUGAGAAUGCCGGUGUGAGUAGCGAAAGACGGGUGAGAAUCCCGUCCACCGAUUGACUAAGGUUUCCAGAGGAAGGCUCGUCCGCUCUGGGUUAGUCGGGUCCUAAGCUGAGGCCGACAGGCGUAGGCGAUGGAUAACAGGUUGAUAUUCCUGUACCACCAUUAUUCGUUUUAAGCGAUGGGGGGACGCAGUAGGAUAGGCGAAGCGUGCUGUUGGAGUGCACGUCCAAGCAGUGAGAUUGAGUGUUAGGCAAAUCCGGCACUCUUAAGAUUGAGCUGUGAUGGGGAGAGGAACUUGUUCCUCGAGUCGUUGAUUUCACACUGCCGAGAAAAGCCUCUAGCUAGAAUAACGGUGCCCGUACCGCAAACCGACACAGGUAGUCAAGAUGAGAAUUCUAAGGUGAGCGAGCGAACUCUCGUUAAGGAACUCGGCAAAAUGACCCCGUAACUUCGGGAGAAGGGGUGCUCUUUGAGGUUCACGCUUCGAAGAGCCGCAGUGAAUAGGCCCAA
rnacentral:rRNA from 1 species